GUCUCAGUGCCAUAGCAGGGCUAUAAGAAGGGAUGGCCUUCUUAUGCACUGGCCUGUGAGCCAGUGCUGGGAAGUAUGAUAUAACUGAAAUGGGAGACUUCCCUUGCACCCCUUCUCAACACAUGCGACAGGAGUGUGGCUCUCUGUUUGACCAAAUUCUCAACUACCGAAGAAAUUGUAUGAUGAAAGGCAAGUAACUGGUUGUUGAAUUCAUGACCCAAGUCAAAUUAAUCUGCUGCAAGAAUAAUUGCGAUUACUCCAGCAGAGGGCACUCUGCUCCUUGCAAUAACAUCCUACUGAACAGUAAGUACCAUGGAUGCCAACACAAAUUCAGACCGAAAAGUCCAUGUAUGUGUUAGUUCUUCAACUGCUCUACUAUACCCAUUAGUACAGGCAACAGUUUUGUAUCUUCUUCGAAAGAGCAGGAUAUACUAUAUUUAGCUAGCUCUUAUACAUGAAAAUUCUUUGGCUAUUUAAAAUCUUCACAUUCUCAAAGAGAACAAUGUUCUGAGUUCAGUAAAGCGCUAGAUUUGUUGGAAAGUUUUGAAGGAAAAGGGGACUAAACACUAGACUUUAAAGAUGGUGUGGUACUAAGGCCACAAUUCAUUUUUUAGAUUUCGGGAUUUAGUAAGGUCAAUCAACAGUCUGCAACAGAAAACCCCAUAAGGUUUAAUGGUUUCAUUCAACCAUGCAACCCACCUUCGCUUUUAUUUAUGAGAACAUUGGGAGAAAAUUCAACUAGUCAAUGGAAGAAACAUGUGUUCAUUUGGAUGGUGAUCAGUCUUUGGUUUAUAUAGCACACAUGGUCCCCACAUUACCCUGCUUCUCCAAGCCUGUCACUUCACUAAGGAUAACAGACCACAGAUAUUCUGCCAAGCAAUGACUUUGGGUAAUUGAGAUUAAGCGACCUUCUCUAAGGAUUUUUCUCCCUCACUGUGUUCAGACAUUGCAGACCUCUUAAUAGACGUGUAUAUUUUUGUCUUAUCAUCAGCAAAUAUUUAUCAGGUGGCCACAGAGCAAAUGGCUCUGUAUUAAGUGCAAACGUCAGUGGUAGCACAGAAUUAGAAGAUCUUUGAUCACUGAAAUUCCUGAAAAAGCCACGUGAUUAUGAAGCACUCAAGGCAGGUGAAGAGAGAUGUGACUGACCUUAGCAGGUUCUUGUAGAACAAGCAGGAUUGCAAUCAAAUUGCUCGAUAUUAAGGGGCCACGUCUAGCAUCUGGACUUGCUUCAUUAGUUCUGGGAUGAUAACUUGGUGUCAAUAAAAGGUGUAGAGUGGAAGAGUGUGGCUAUUGAUCUGUGGGUCUUUAAAAAUUAAUGUUCCUAUUACACAGGGUCUGGGGUUGAGUGAGGACAAAAGGAGGGAAAAGGAAGAGCUAAGGGAUGAUGAGAAACUCAUAUUAGCUUCUUAGAAUUAAUUUAUUUUUCAGGCAAUCCAGACCUUCUUUGCAAUCAUGAGUAUUUUAACUCAUGAGUAUUUAAUUCCUUAAAAAUACAAACUCCCCAAAACCCAGGUCAGCUCUAAACCUAGGGAUGAGCAUUUACUUGGGGACAGCACGCACAUUUUGUUAAGCACAGAAGCUUUCCAGCCCUGCUUUGACCAGCUCCCUGAUCAGAGAUCCUGCCAUCCUCUUUUCUUACUUCCUGCAGGGUGACACUCCCAUCCCAUUUUAACUGCCAACAUCAAACGUAUUCAUCCAUGCAAUGGCAUGGAUGAAGGACCUCGGUGGCCAAGAGCACUGCAUGAAGAACCAUGCAUCCCCAUCUUAAGAGGGUAGUCUCUUCGUGUCUCUUUGUCAGUCUUCAGGAAUUAGUGGCCCUCAGAUCACUUACGAUGAGCAAGCACUUGUGCUAAGUAGUUAGGAAGAAUGGGCAUUCCAUCAGGUACAGUAUACAAGUUUUUCCAAGAAAUCCUAACCCUGGGGGCUCAGGCGAAUGAGGAGGGUCAAAUGCUGAGGGUGGGAGAAAGCAGAUCUAGACAGCAUUCUGGAAUUGUUGCUUUGCCAUUAUUUGCCCAGAAAACAUUUAUGGCAAGGAAGCCUGAAAACAUGGCAAUGGUUGUAAGAUGGGUUGCGAUACAACUGGUGAUGUGAGAAGUGAAAAUGAAACUGACUCCUUUAGGGAGGACAUUGGUUUAUAGUAAACAGGUUUGCCUCAUCAGAAGUGAAUAUGGAUAUUGCUACACAAUAAAAAGAGGAAAAACACCAACAACAGUAACAAUGGUAAUCACAAUAAUGAUAAUGACUCUGUAGGUAUAGAACCUCCAGUUUUUUGUGUUCUGAAGGUUAUUUCAGAGUUUCUUGCAAGAGAGAAAACAAAUCAGAAAAAAAGGGGAAGAGAGAAGAUGGGAAAAUAAUUUAUGUAUGGGUAUACAAAGUAAGAUAUAGGCAGUCAGAGAAAAACAGAUACAGACAGAAAAGGAAAAGAAACUUAGAGAAGAUAUAAAAAUGCUACUGGAAAUUGCCUCUGUGGCCUUAGUACCAGAAAAGACUGGGCUCUCGCUCCACAGAGGGAGUGACUCCAUAGCCCAGAUUUUUUGAAAAGUUUUGAUUUAAGGAUUUUUUUUUAAGUCAGGGUGAUACAUUCAAUGGAUAACUAAAUGUCAUUUAAUUUUUUAUGCUCUGCAAAAAUAUCCAUCUAAACAAAACUCAUAAAUAAGAAAGAAUCCUAUGUUAGAUCACUGGCAUUGAUUUGGUUUUGAGAGUAUGGUAGCCUCAGGGAUGUCAGGGCAGUAACUGAAAUGGCCACUGGGCAUGGUGAGCUUUGAAAUGACCAAACCCAGAUCUAUGAAUUUCCAGGAUAUUUCACCAGGAUGAAGGAAAUGUUAAAAACAAGAAAACAAAACAAAACAAAACAAAAUGAACAUUUUUGGACAGAGCUUUGCCUCCAUGAUUCUGAUCAUUACCAUGUGAUGUCAAAAAUGGCUACAGGAAAAUCCUCCAGAAACAAACUUUGGUAAGUAGUGAAUGGCAAAGGCUCAGGGGGU
rnacentral:lncRNA from 10 species